UACGGAGGAUCCGAGCGUUAUCCGGAUUUAUUGGGUUUAAAGGGUGCGUAGGUGGUCUUAUAAGUCAGUGGUGAAAGUUUGCGGCUUAACCGUAAAAUUGCCAUUGAUACUGUGGGACUUGAGUACAAAUGAGGUAGGCGGAAUGUGUUGUGUAGCGGUGAAAUGCUUAGAUAUAACACAGAACACCAAUUGCGAAGGCAGCUUACUGGGAUGUAACUGACACUGAGGCACGAAAGCGUGGGGAUCAAACAGG
rnacentral:rRNA from 1 species